CUACUACGGAGAGUUUGAUCCUGGCUCAGGAUGAACGCUGGCGGCGUGCUUAACACAUGCAAGUCGAACGAACCUUCGGGUUAGUGGCGGACGGGUGAGUAACGCGUGGGAAUCUGCCCUCAGGAGGGGGAUAACGGUUGGAAACGGCCGCUAAUACCCCAUAUGCCGAGAGGUGAAAUGAAUUUCGCCUGAGGAUGAGCCCGCGUCUGAUUAGCUAGUUGGUGAGGUAAUGGCUCACCAAGGCAUCGAUCAGUAGCUGGUCUGAGAGGAUGAUCAGCCACACUGGGACUGAGACACGGCCCAGACUCCUACGGGAGGCAGCAGUGGGGAAUUUUCCGCAAUGGGCGCAAGCCUGACGGAGCAACGCCGCGUGAGGGAUGAAGGCCUCUGGGCUGUAAACCUCUUUUCUCAAGGAAGAAGAUCUGACGGUACUUGAGGAAUAAGCCACGGCUAAUUCCGUGCCAGCAGCCGCGGUAAUACGGGAGUGGCAAGCGUUAUCCGGAAUUAUUGGGCGUAAAGCGUCCGCAGGCGGCUUUUCAAGUCUGCUGUUAAAGCGUGGAGCUUAACUCCAUCAAGGCAGUGGAAACUGAUUGGCUUGAGUGUGGUAGGGGCAGAGGGAAUUCCCGGUGUAGCGGUGAAAUGCGUAGAUAUCGGGAAGAACACCAGUGGCGAAGGCGCUCUGCUGGGCCAUAACUGACGCUCAUGGACGAAAGCCAGGGGAGCGAAAGGGAUUAGAUACCCCUGUAGUCCUGGCCGUAAACGAUGAACACUAGGUGUCGGGGGAAUCGACCCCCUCGGUGUCGUAGCCAACGCGUUAAGUGUUCCGCCUGGGGAGUACGCACGCAAGUGUGAAACUCAAAGGAAUUGACGGGGGCCCGCACAAGCGGUGGAGUAUGUGGUUUAAUUCGAUGCAACGCGAAGAACCUUACCAGGGUUUGACAUCCUGCGAACCUCUAAGAAAUUAGAGGGUGCCUUUGGGAACGCAGUGACAGGUGGUGCAUGGCUGUCGUCAGCUCGUGUCGUGAGAUGUUGGGUUAAGUCCCGCAACGAGCGCAACCCACGUUUUUAGUUGCCAGCAUUCAGUUGGGCACUCUAGAGAGACCGCCGGUGAUAAACCGGAGGAAGGUGUGGAUGACGUCAAGUCAUCAUGCCCCUUACAUCCUGGGCUACACACGUACUACAAUGCUACGGACAAAGGGCAGCGAACUCGCGAGGGCAAGCAAAUCCCAUAAACCGUGGCUCAGUUCAGAUCGUAGGCUGCAACUCGCCUACGUGAAGAAGGAAUCGCUAGUAAUCGCAGGUCAGCAUACUGCGGUGAAUACGUUCCCGGGCCUUGUACACACCGCCCGUCACACCAUGGAAGUUGGCCACGCCCGAAGUCGUUACUCCAACCCUUGUGGAGGAGGACGCCGAAGGUGGGGCUGAUGACUGGGGUGAAGUCGUAACAAGGUAGCCGUACCGGAAGGUGCGGCUGGAUCACCUCCU
rnacentral:rRNA from 1 species